rnacentral:rRNA from 1 species
UGCUCGAGUGGCGAACGGGUGAGUAACACGUGGGUGAUCUGCCCUGCACUUCGGGAUAAGCUUGGGAAACUGGGUCUAAUACCGGAUAGGACCAUCGUUUAGUGUCGGUGGUGGAAAGUUUUUUCGGUGUGGGAUGAGCUCGCGGCCUAUCAGCUUGUUGGUGGGGUAAUGGCCUACCAAGGCGUCGACAGGUAGCCGGCCUGAGAGGGUGUACGGCCACAUUGGGACUGAGAUACGGCCCAG